rnacentral:lncRNA from 10 species
GUCUUUCUGUUGACUAAUCAAAAUGCCUACCUCCCCCAGCCCACGGCAACCAGGGGAAGGGAGGUGGCAGGAACAGGCACAGCAUAGAGCUUCAAAAGCUCUGAAUACCAAAGUCAGAUGCUGAAUUGAAAACUGCCUCCAAGACACAGGCACAGAGAGAUAAAGAGAAAAAGCAAAAAUAAAAAGAUGCAACGAAAUGAAUACCGUGGAGUGAAUGACCGUACCUUGGCAACGGCUUUGCCAUCGGAAUUGUUGUUGGAAUCCUUAACACCACUGAAUGAAUCUCUUCUUUGUGGGCAUGGUUUCUUUUUGCGUGGUCUGCCUUUAAGAUUUGGCGCUGAAAACAAAUGGAAAACAAUUGAUAUACAUUUUCACUUGCAUGGGUUUCUUUAUUAAAGACCCAGAAUCUCACUACAGUGAUCCCUUCUAAUUGUUCAGAGAAAUGUACAGAUCUGUGGCAGGCAGCCCUCAUUAUUACAUGCUUCUCUCUCUGAAGGCUUGCAUAUUGGUAGAGUAUACAUUUCUGUACACGUUUCCCAAAGCUAAUCUAUUUAGCUUUAACAUGUCUAAUUAAUAGAAGUAACACGAAGCUCUUAGCUCUAAAGGAUCAUGAUAAGAAAAAUGUCCUUCCACGUUGUUAGACAAGAAGCAUUUGGUGCUGAAAAACUG